rnacentral:lncRNA from 1 species
AUUUUUGGGCAUCUAUAAUUACUAUUAGGGUGCGUUUGGUUCGCAUUAUGAAAGAUUACUAGGAAUAAAAGAUGUCCGAGAAUCUUAUUCCUAUUCAUUCUAUUACUAAGAAUGUGGAAUUCCUGUGUUUGGUUCGCACGGUAAUAUUAAUUAGCCAUGUUAUUUAAUAUUGCAAAAAAUAUACAAUUAAUUAAUUAAUUUAUUUAUUUAAUUUUAGAUAAUGUUACCAAAAGUUUCAACAUCUUUUUAGAAAAAAGGGAGAGAGAGUAUAAGUUAGAGAGAGAGAGCAUAAUUAAAAAAAUAGAAAAAAAAAUAUAGUCGAAAUUAGAGGGAGUGAGAGAGUUGAAAUUUUAGAAAGAGAGAGAGAGAGAAAGCUUAGUUUAGAGAGAGAAAAAAAAAGUUGAAUUUUAGAGAGAAAAAUAAGUUUAGAGAGAGAUAUAAGGUUAGAGUGUAAAGAAAAAUAAUAUCAAUUAGCCAGCGGAUAGGAAGAAAGAAAGAGAUUAGACAUAUUAUGAUUACCCCAAUCGAUUAAUAUGAGGAUACCCGCCACCCUCAAGGGAAUGAGAUUAGUACUUUGGGGUGAAUCUUAUUCUCAAGUGAAUCCAAUAUUACCAACUAGAUUACUUAGUGCGUUUAGCCAAAUACCGUCAUAUUUUUUUACUCUCAUUGAAUUACUAGGAAUCUUUAAAAGAUAACGCGAAUCAAACGCACGCUUAGUUUAUUCCUUUUGUAACUAUUGAUUGAUCAUAAGA